UGGUACAUUCGUGGGUAAAUCAAGGCGCUCAACGUCUUGAAUUCUGCGAGCACGGCCAGACUUGGGACCGGGUGAGGUGUGGGGUACUCUCAGGGUAGGGGUAAAAUCCUGUCAUCCUGAGAGGACCACCUGUUGCGAAGGCGCCACACUAGAACGGAUCCGACGGUCAGGGACGAAGCCUAGGGGCACGAACCGGAUUAGAUACCCGGGUAGUCCUAGGUGUAAACGCUGUGGACUUGAUGUUGGGAGUGCUCCGAGCACCCUCAGUGUCGAAGCGAAGGUGAUAAGUCCACUGCCUGGGGAGUACGGUCGCAAGGCUGAAACUUAAAGGAAUUGGCGGGGGAGCACUGCAACCUGAGGAUUGUGCGGUUUAAUUGGAUUCAACGCCGGAAAACUCACCAUAGCCGACGGACAAAUGAAGGCCAGCGUAACGAGCUUGCCGGAUUGUUCGAGAGGUAGUGCAUGGCCGUCGUCAGUUCGUACCGCAAGGCGUUCUGUUAAGUCAGAUAACGAACGA
rnacentral:rRNA from 1 species